CUGCAAUGAAGAUGAUGAUGCAUUGCUGUGGGUGACGAAAAUCUCAAGAUGAAGAUUUAGAGGGAGAGGAUAACAUGGGCAAAGAUUGGGAAGCACAAAUAGGCAAUGAAAACCUGGAUAAUGUUCAAGUUGAUGAUGGAGCUGGCUCGUGCCCAUAAGUGUGGUUUUUGUUUUUUAAUGGAAAUGAGAAUCAACCCAACUAGAGCUAAGGAAAGAAACAAUUACUGGAAGAUGAUGCACAAUUAUAUGGGUUCAGAUGCAACAUCAGUGGUGAUACUUCCUAUUUUCAUUUUUGAGCCAAUGGUGAUGCUUUAGAAAAUGAUGAGUAAUGGAGUAUUCCCACUUGCUAGAUCAGGCAGAUAAAUGUGAAGAUCCUUACAUGCGGCUUAUGUAUGAUUCAUAUGAAAUCAUUGAAAAGUAGUACAUGGUUUACUCUUUUGUCAGCUCGUUAUGGUACAACUCUCAACCAACCAUUGCAAAGCAAAGGUUAGUAUGGUUUUCUUUCUCUUCCUUGCACAUAAACUUUAACAUUCUAAUGCUUGACUCGCGAGGAGGAGCAGUGAGGAAAUUCGAGAAACCCAAAGUUGAACGC